UAAAAACAUCUUUUUCCUGCUAAAUAGACACACUCUCCACCCUCUUUUAGUCAAUCUUCCACAAAAUUAGAUAAGGAGAAAUAACCCUUUGUUUCACAUCCGCUGACUCAGAUACGAGCAUUAUUCAACUGGGCGGGGGUGGCAGUGGAUGGGAGGGGGCUGAGCAAACUACAAGUGGAGGAAGAAGAGGACAGCCUAGGAGAGGGAGGGCAGAAGAAAGGAGAGCACAUUGUGCAGGGGCACAGUGUUUUGCUGCUCCUUUUUUUCUUUCUUUUCUUAAUAUGGUCCUGGCUCACAGCAAGGCCACUACCUGACAAGCAGAUGAGUCACUUCCUAUGGGCACAGCGGGGGUACAACUUGAUAGCUACAAAACCAGACAACCUCUCGCCAUGCGCUCACCCUGUUCCCAGACCCGGGUGGUGGUCUGGGGGGUUGGAAGGGGCGGGAAGGGCGCUGUCUUAAGAAUCAUCCUCACAUCUCAGGGCUUCGCCCCUCGAGGGAGGUGACCCUUGGCCACCCUCUGCGCAGUUCUCCCUGAAAGGUCAUGCCACGUCUUAGCACUCUGGUCCCUGCGCCCCUGCAGGCCUCGCGGAUCCCCCACUUGUCUCGACGCAGGGGACGCCCACUUGUCUGACGCAGGGGACGUGGCUGAAGUCAGUCGGGCCGCCCGCUUGCUGCACGGCAGCCGUGGGACUGGCACAGGCUCCUCGGCAGCAUUAUGGGCAGCUGGUAGAGCGGCCACUUCUGAGAGCCGGAUGGGCCUUCCGAGGUCGGGCCGUGCCCCGCUGGGCAGCGCAGAGGGGGUGUGUAGGGCACGCGACUUGGAGCCAGGUCCAGACCCAUCCUGGCUCCUCUCAGGGCUCCUUCCCCUGCCCCCAUUCCACCCCAGCCCUGCUGGCUGUCCCGCAGGACCCAGCGCCGCGGUAGCCUUCUCUGAACUGCGGCUCAGGCGGAGGUGUCACUCCUGCCUCCAGCCCAGGAGGGCAGGUCAGGUUAUGCAACGCGUGCCGCGCGAUCUCCCCCCACCUCCAACCCCCUUUUCUCCCGGGUCCACACCGCAGUUCCCACCGCUCCGGGUGUCCUCCCCAGUGCGCCGCGAUUUUUGUGUCCAAGCCCCAGAGUCCCUCUGAGACCAACCCCCAGCCAGCACAGACUUCCUGCCUU
rnacentral:lncRNA from 1 species